rnacentral:rRNA from 1 species
GAGUUUGAUCCUGGCUCAGGAUUAACGCUGGCGGCAUGCCUAAUACAUGCAAGUCGAACGGAGUAGCAAUACUUAGUGGCGAACGGGUGAGUAACACGUAUCUAAUCUACCAUUUAGUAGGGAAUAACUGUUGGAAACGACAGCUAAUACCGCAUAAUAUUGCUGGAUAAUUUCCAGUAAUGAAAGGAGCUUUCAAGCUCCGCUGAUUGAUGAGGAUGCGGCGCAUUAGCUAGUUGGUAGGGUAAUGGCCUACCAAGGCAAUGAUGCGUAGCCGAUCUGAGAGGAUGAACGGCCACAUUGGGACUGAGACACGGCCCAAACUUCUACGGAAGGCAGCAGUAGGGAAUUUUUCACAAUGGGCGAAAGCCUGAUGGAGCAAUGCCGCGUGACUGAUGAAGGUCUUCGGAUUGUAAAGGUCUGUUGUAAGGGAAGAAAUGGUAAAACAGGAAAUGGUUUUAUCUAUGACGGUACCUUACCAGAAAGCCACGGCUAACUAUGUGCCAGCAGCCGCGGUAAUACAUAGGUGGCAAGCGUUAUCCGGAUUUAUUGGGCGUAAAGGGUGCGUAG